CUCUCGGGUGGGAUAAUCCUCAUGUGUUCCUCCCUUCACAGGGCACAUAGGGGAUGAUGGCUGGAAGUCCAGUGAUGUGCGUUUAGCGUCUCCGCAUGAUGGAGACGCAACCCGGAUCACUUCCACCUGAC